UCGUACAACGGAGGUGCCUAGGGCUGUCGCCGACCUUCACAGGUCGUGCACGCCCGAAGUGCUCUCUCUGAUGUCCAUCUCACCCCUUUGUGCAUCACCGCGUGGGCCCCCUUAUUGAGCUUGUUCCGAUGGGGGGUUCGCGUUUUUACACAGACAACCUUUAUUAAUGCAUGUGUAGAAUGUCUUACUUUUUGCGAUCACACGCAAUCAAUA
rnacentral:misc_RNA from 1 species